GGGGGCACGGCAUGGCACUGCUUGGUGGUGGUCACGGUGGGUGUUUAGGGAUGAGCAGCAGACGGUGAAGAGACAGGCCAUCGUUGGAACGCAGGUCCGAGGAGAGGGCCCCACCAGCAAGGUCACGUGAGAAGGAAGAAGAAG